AGGGAACGUGAGCUGGGUUUAGACCGUCGUGAGACAGGUUAGUUUUACCCUACUGACAAAGUAGAUACUGCGACAGUAGUCGAAGUUAGUACGAGAGGAACACUUCGUCCAGAUACUUGGUUAAUGCCGUUGUCUGAAAAGACAGUACGGCGAAGCUACCAUCUGCUGGAUUACGGCUGAACGCCUCUAAGCCGGAAUCCAUGCUGGAUAAGCAGUGUUGUACACCGUGCUCAAUGCUACAAGAAAAAGGACAGGUCAAAAUUCAUUGCUGCUUAUAUGGGCAAGCUCCGACAGGUUAAAUUCCAUCGGAUUGGAGCUUUGGCUCUGUUUCUCGAAAGGGAAGCUGGUUAGUAUUCCAGCGCCGAGACGUGGAUAAUAUGU
rnacentral:ncRNA from 1 species